AGCAGGAAAAAAAUGUUAAAUUUAUUAUAACUUGGUUAAAUUUUGUUAAAGAGUAUAUUAGAGGCAGAAUUUUAUGAGCCUUAUAUAUUAUAAAACAUUUAUUUUUAUUAAUGUUCUGUUGAGUUGAUUGAUGAAUUGAAAUUCAUUAAAAUUAUAUCUAAAUAAUUGAAUAUGGCUCUGUUAAAACCAAAACUGACACUCACGUGCUCCUUCUUCUAGAUGUUUCUACUAUCAUCCAUUCCCAUUCCUUAUUUCUCUCCCUUUCAAGAUCUUUUGCUCCCUCCCGCUCCUCUAUCAUCUCUUCUCAUGUACUUUCCUUAUCUCCAGGUUCCAAAUUAUUUUCAAGUUCAUGCCUUAUUUUACAUGUUUUGUUGUGAUUGUUUUCAUUAAGCAUAAUCGUUUUCCAAUAUUAUCUUUAUGUUAUGAGUUUGAGUUGAAGACGUUGCCUUCCACGUGUUUGAUGAAAUGCAACACUAGGACCACUCCUCAGUUGAAGUGAAAAUUGCUAUGACCACAGUUAUUAGGUUGAUUCAUGACACCCAAGUGUUGGUAUCCUUCGUACUUCGCCUGUGUUUGGUUUAAAAACAUAAUAUAACAUUCUGUGGAAUUCAUGUAGAUAGAACAUAAUAUAUUUGUGGUUUCAUUUUUACUGUCUUAAGUGACUAGGAAUAAUUAGGUCCUAUUGUUCAAGCUCAAUAUUGGAGGUUAAAGGUACUAAUAGGACAAUUCGAAAAGGUCUUUUUCUAUUGAUUUACUGCUUUAAUAUUUCAUUGUUAAAAGUCUUUGUCGUUAGAUAUGUAAGAUAGCAUCAACAUCAUUAAUUAGAUUGCAACACUGGAAUUCAUUUAAUUUAACAUAAAAUACACUUUUAAAGUAAGUGUAAUGAUCUGAUAUUUUUUUAAAUAAGGUUAAUGGUCCACAUUUUAUUUUAUUUUUUUAUUAUUUUUUAUAUCACGUGCAUUUUCUACUAUUUUGACUUGCAGGCGAUUGUAGGUUUCAAGGGCUGCCUCUUACAUGAGGAUCUUUCAUUGAGGCUUUUCUAAUGGUAAUAUCUCCUCCUUUACCCUCUUAAUCUCUCUGUCAUGAGUUCUGAUAUCCUCUUCAUUUAUUUUCUAUAUUCCUGAUAUUUCUUUCAUUAUCAAUCUUUAUAGCCUUACGAUUUCUUAAAGUUUCUUUGUCAGUUUAAAAUCAAUAUUUCUGACAUUACCUUUGUGUUUGCUUCUCCCACAGUGGUGAAGAUUUUGAAAUUUGUCAUGGUUUCUGUUGAUCCUAGUGGUAGGAUCUAUUGUUCUUUCCAGGAGAAAAUUCUUGUUUAUAGUUGAAUAAAAAAUCAUAAAACAUGAGAUUGGUGACUAAAGAAUCUUUGGGAGAAGAAAAAACUUUCUUCUUUUUUCAAGAUUUUUGCACAUCUUUUUUGGAACUAGGUUUUGUUUCUUUGGCUUUAUGUAGGCCAAUCCAUGGUCCGGAGCUGGGAUCAGAUUUUCUCCUAAGAGGAGGAAAUGAUCUAAAGUAAUCUUCAAGGUCCGUGUCCUUAUCUUCCUCAUGUGAUUCGUCAUCAUCAUUGGAGUUGUCAUUAUCUUUGAUGCAUUCACAAUCUGGUCACACAUAAAAGGAUCAACAUCCCAUAUGAAAUGACCAUUGACUUUGUUUGUGAAUAUGGGCUUUCCAAUAGGAAGAACUCCCAUAUAGAGAUUUUUCUCUCUUUUGUAACUGGAUAGAUCAUCAUAGGCUGAAAAAUCUGGAAGGAGCUGGUACUUGCUUCAUCUCCUAGUUGUUUGAAUAUGGUUCUGACUAUCCCGUUUACAGAUCUCCUAAAAGUGGUUUCAGAAGUCUAGAGAGUUUUUUUAUUUUCAUGUAACUUUUCAUAAUUAGUCCCCUAUUGUAGAGGAAUAAGUUCCUCUAAUUGUUGUUUAGUAAUGUUUCUAGGGAUUUGGACUGUUGAUGGGCUUGGGUUAGCCAUAACAAAUAGAGCGCCUUCACUACUCGAGGGUAAGAAUAGGUUGACUGUAUGAUUCUGUAACUUAUAGAUAAUCUGAUGAUGUGCAUUCAAUUACUUGAAUAGGUUGACCUGUCUCUACCAGAGUUUCUCUCUUAGAUUCCAGUUUCCUCAAUUAUGAAAAUGUUGUCAUAGGAACAGUUCUGAGUACCUUAUGUGCAGGAAGUGUAGUUCUCACUAUGUUUCCCAACUACAAUGUUAGCCUAAGAGAUCCAACCUUACCCCCAAAGACUCAAAGUCCAAGUACGAUAAAGGGAGUCAGACAAGUAGCUGAAGCCUUUUGUGCAACACUACAUCAUCAAAUUAUCUAUAAGUUACAAAAUCAUGCAGUCAACCAAUCCUUACCCUCAAGUAGGGAAGGCGCUGUAUUUGUUAUGACUAAACCUCAUGAAGAAAGCCUAUCAAUAGUUCCGAUCUUUAGAAACAUUACUAGACAACAGUUAGAGAAAUUGAUCCCUCUACAAUGGGUGACUAAUUAUGAGAAGUUACAUGAAAAUAGAAAACCUCUCCAGACUUCUGAAGCCACUUUUAGGAUAUAUGUAGAUGGGACAGUCAGAACCAUAUUCAAGCAACUAGGAGAUGAAGCAAAUACCAGCUCCUCCCAGAUUUUUCAGUCUAUGAUUCAUCCAGUUACAAAAGAGAGAAAAAUCCCUAUAUAGGGAGUUCUUACUAAUGGAAAGCCUAUAUUCACAGAUAAAGUUGUUAGAGAUAUUAUAUUUAGUUUAUAUUGUGUUUAUGUUAAUUAGGGAAAUAUAGUCUCUAUAUGUUUAUUAGGGAAACAUUAUUCUUAUUUUAUUUUAUUUUAUUCUUGCAUAUUCAUUUGUAUUUGGGCUUAGCCCAUAUUUCUUCUAUUAUAAAUAGAGAACGCUAUGUGUGUAUUUAACAUAAGGGAUUAAUUCCAAUAUAUAAUUUUCACUAUAUUUAACAUGGUAUCAGAGCCAUGGUUAAAGCUUAUCCUAGUGAGUUCUAAGUGGGCAUUUCUGUUUCCAGCCAUUGUCGGGCUGCUAUUGGAUCACCUAAUUUCUACUAUCACGCACGAGAUGUCUAUACCUCGACGUGAAAGGGGUGUGUUGGAAGUCCCACAUCCACUAGAGAUAAGUCUAAUUUAUAAUAUAUAAGUGAGGUGCAAACCUCACCUUACAAGCCGGUUUUGUGGGGUUGAGAAGAAAGAGUUGAGAAGAGUGAAAGAGAGAGAAGAAGUGACAAGAGUGGAGUGUGCGUGAGAGAGUGACUGCAAAACGCUCCACCCUUGUUUCUUCUCAGAUCUUCCAUGGAACAGUACGAGAAGGUGGAGAAGAUAGGGGAGGGAACAUACGACGUCGUUUACAAGGCUUGCGACCAUGUCACCAAUGAGACCAUCGCUCUUAAGAAGAUUCGCCUCGAGCAGGAAGACGAGGGGGUUCCUAGCACUGCCAUUCGUGAGAUUUCGCUCCUCAAAGAGAUGCAGCAUAGGAACAUUGUUAGGUUGCAGGAUGUAGUGCACAGUGAGAAGCGAUUGUAUCUGGUUUUCGAGUAUCUGGACUUGGAUCUAAAGAAACACAUGGAUUCAUCUCCAGAGUUUGUGAAAGAUCCACGACAAGUAAAAAUGUUCCCCUAUCAAAUUCUCUAUGGCAUUGCUUACUGCCAUUCGCACAAAGUUCUUUAUCGAGACUUGAAACCACAGAAUUUGUUGAUCGAUCGUCGUACAAAUUCCUUAAAACUUGUAGAUUUUGGAUUGGCUAGGGCAUUUGGCAUUCCUGUCAGGACAUUUACUCAUGAGGUGGUGACAUUAUGGUAUCAGAGCAGGUUUUCUGAUCCUUUUCUACUUUGUCUUUGUUGCCGCAGGUGGCCACCGCCACCGGCGGCCCCCUCCUAAAAGUUUCUUUUUCAACCUGUGCCUUUAUACUUCAAUGGGCAAUCUCUGGUUUCUGUCUCGCAUCUGUCCGGUGUUGCUGACCGUCACCGGCCGUCGUCUCCGGCCACCGUCUCCGGCCACCGUCUCCGACCACCGUCUCUGGCCACUGUCUCCGGCACCGUCUUCGGCCACCGUUUCCGAUCGUCGUCUCCGCCACUUGUGCCACCGAUGCACCAACACCUAGUCCUACCUCUACUGCUUCCGCUAUCUUCUUCUGUAUUCUGAAAGGUCUUCAAGGACCGUCAAUGUUUAACACCAAGAAAUUUCAACACUAAAAUUAUGGGUUGAAAGAAUUUCACCAACCCUUUGUCAAAUCUGUCAGAUUUGUUUUUUGGGUGCUUUGAUAAGAGCUCAUUAUGAUCUUUCACUUUCACGAUCUGUCAUCGGCGCGCCGUCAUUUCCGCCGUUCGUCGUGAGGGGGAGUAUGUUUCCAGCCAGGUUUUAGGCUUUCAGACUCCACUAGUCAAUGAUGAUAGUCCUUGCAGUUUUAUCGCUUCUAGCCACUACAGGCCCCAUCAAUCAGUGAUGGCAGUCCCUGUAGUUUUAUCGCUUUUAGUCACUACAGGCUCCAUCAGUCAGUGAUGGCAGUCCCUAUAGUUUUGAUGCAAGCUCCAUCCUUACUUGAUGACAAUCUAGUCCCUGGAGUUUGUCAUUGUUCUCCUUUGUCAAAGUCAUCCCACUUGAAGUUUCAUGGUGUUAUUUGAAGUUUCGCAGUAGUCCACUACUGUCCAUAAAUUGUUGUUAGUUGUUCGUCGACAUGUGAUUGCGCAUCUGUUUGCCGCACACUCUUGAAGACAGAUCAUAAAUUUCAAAUUGAGUUUAUUUAUUCCAAGCUUAGUCCAUACAAUCUGUAUGCUCCAGCUUGAGGGGGAGUGUUAGAGAUAUUAUAUUUAGUUUAUAUUGUGUUUAUGUUAAUUAGGGAAAUAUAGUCCCUAUAUGUUUAUUAGGGAAACAUUGUUCUUAUUUUAUUUUAUUUUUACAUAUUCAUUUGUAUUUGGGCUUAACCCAUAUUUCUUCUAUUAUAAAUAGAAAACCCUAUGUGUGUAUUUAACACAAGGGAUUACUUCCAAUAUAUAAUUUUCAUUAUAUUUAACAAAAGUCAAUGGUCAUUUCAUAUGAGAUGUUGAUCCUUUUAUGUGUGACCCAGAUUGUGAAUGCAACAAACAUGAUGACAGCUCCAGAUGAGGAAGAUAAGGACACAGACCAUGAAGACUAUUGUAGACCAUUUCCUCCUCCUAGGAGAAGAUCUGAUCCCAGUUUUAGACCAUGGAUUGGCCUAUAUAAACCUAAAGAAUCAGAUUCUUUGUGGUUCCAGAAAAGAUGUGUAGAAAUCUUGGAAAAAGAAGGAAGGUUCUCCUUCCCUAAAAAGAUUCCUCAGCCACAGAUCCCCCUGUUUUAUGAUUUUUGAUUCCAACUAUGAACAAGAAUUUCCCUGAUCCUACCACCAGAAUCAGCACCAAGCCUAAUAUCUCCCCCUCGAAGAUAGGACCCGAUGGAAGAUCAAAGCCUUUAACCCAAGCAGAAGAGGUACUUAAUUGGUAGACAGAAAAUGCUAUAGUUCAAAACUUUAUGCUUAGAACAAUCAAAAGAUAUAUGGACUUUCAUCACAAAUGAGGAAUACAGAUGCUAGAUUAGAACAUCUUUCUGAAAGAAUGAAAGAACACUACGCCUAUCUUACCUUUGGUGAAACCUCUUAGGCCAAAUAAAGAGAAAUCAAGAAGCUAAUUGACCAUUACAUAGAAUAAAAAAUGAAAGGGAAACAAUUGUCUUUCUUUGAUCCUUUCAGCCCUCCUCCUUUCACCCCAUUCCAACCUCUUUUCCAACCUUCUUCCUCUAUGAUUCAUAAGUCCAAACAAACCUAUUCAUUACCAACUGCUACAACUUUUAGAAUCAAACAAAAACUCAGAACUUCAGUACACUCAACACAAACCAAAAAAACUCAUACCCACACCCAAUCAAAGUCCCCCAGAAAUCUACUGAAAAGGAAGACUAUUUCCAGGAUUCCUAGGACCCAUACGCACAAUUCACUAUUGAAAACACUAGCAUAAGAUCUUCAGAAUACACUUCUUCUGACAGUAAUACAGAGAACCUCUCUGAUAGUAACUCAUCUGAUGAAUAUGCAAAUGUAUUCAUGGUCAAUACUGCAACUUCCAGUACAAGACAAGAACCCAUAUAUGAAUCUGAAGAAAUUGAUCCACCUUUAAGAGACAACCCUUCUAAACCCAAUAGUGGGCCAUGGUUCUCCAUAAAUGAUCUUCCUCCCAAUCAGUGGAGAGUGAUACUUAUUGAGUUUGGAGCUUGGUUGGACACCAAACUCAUUAAGGAUUCAGGUUCAUACAAAGUUAUAGAAGAAUUAUGCUGUCGAAUGAUUGGAAAUAUGAAGGAAUGGUAUUGCAACCUAGGAUCAGUUUGGUAAGAUUAGUUUCAUAACUUGGGAACAAUUGUUGCAGUUUUAGGAGCUCUCCAUGAAGAAUUCAUUGGAGAUGGAGUCAUCAUUGACAGAAUGAUGCAACAAGAAUUUUUUGAGAUGAAGUGUAAGAUUUAUAUAAGCAUUUCAAACGAAUACUACAACGAUUUUGUCUGCUAAAUGGAGCAAAUGAUGUCAGUCUCAGAAAUACUUACGUGGCCUCCCUUCCUAUCCAAUUACAACCAGAAUUAAACGGAAUGGCCAUGGCAGCUCAAAAGGAUUUCUCUACCAUGACCAUGGGACAAAUCCACCUGAUGACUAAGAAAGCUGUUGAUAAGUUAUGUCAGCAACACCAAUAUUUCUCUGAUUUAACGAAUAAUAAGGGAAAAUUUGGAAAAGCCUGCAAAAUAAUCAUAUCUAGAGAUAAAAUGCAAGUGGGACAAUUUAAAGAAGCUGAAGUCUAUUAUCAAACCACAUAUAUUGCAGUAAGAAACGAAAUAAAAAAGUUUGACUUCCAUCUUAGAGGCUUCCAUUUUGAAGUACAAAUGGAUAACUCCUCUUUCCCUACAAUUCUUGAAUUCAAUAACAAGAUGUUUCCAAAUCCUCAUAUAUUAAGAUUAAAAGAUUGGUUCUCCAAAUAUGAUUUUACCGUAAAACAUAUCAAAGGAAACAAAACCUUAUUCCAAACUUUCUAUCCAGACCAACAAAAGUUAUACAAAUUAUCAUCAAAACUCACAAUUUUCCACUGAUUUUCAUGAUAAAACCUUUAACAAAUCAUGCCAAAACUCAAAAAUUUUAUCCUCUAGGAUUAUAUCCCAGAACUCCAACAAAUAUCUUAAACUAUACAAAAUUAGAUACUUCUUUUUUCUUCAUGCGACACUAAGAUUCAAAACUGUUUCUCUUUGUGCACUGGAUUCCACAAAUCCAAAUGAAAAUAUUUUUGAAUAAAAUAUAAAAAUAUAUCUUAAUAUAUACACUUUAAAAUACAAAAUUUAUGUUUUAAAAUAUUUUAAUCAGAAUACAAAAUUUACAUUACAAUCUAAAAUCUAAAAUCUAAAAUAUAAAAUAUAUUAUUAAAUAUACAACUCAAUAUAAUUUAGACUGAAUAAUCUAAAGUAUAAAAAAAAAUACAAGAUCGUGUACAUUUACCUAAAAUAACAGUAAAAAUAUUUUUUUAUUGACUAUCACCUUUUGUUAUGCAUUGAAUAUAUGACACUUCAUGCAUAGAUGUUGCUUGAGGCCUUUCUUUUCCAGUGCUUGCUAAUGUAACUAUAUUGAUACUGAGAUCUUCUCUGUCCGUUUUGCUGUCUUAGGUGGGUUUGAUUUAUGCUUGGGAUAGGCUAUUGAUGGUCGUAAUAUGUUAACUAUAAUUUUAGUUAUUUGUGUUUAAUAAUCUGAAAUACAAUUUUUGUAUUUUAUUUUAUAUUGUAAAUUCUGGAAUGUAUUUCUUACUGUAAAUUUUGAAAUAUAUAUAUAUAUAUAUAUAUAUAUAUAUAUAUAUUCUAAAAUAUAAAGAUAUUAAUGUUUAAAAUCGUUAAAUAAUAUGAAAUGUAUUUAGAUUAUACGGUUCAAG
rnacentral:lncRNA from 1 species